rnacentral:rRNA from 1 species
UAGUGUAUUGGACUACCAUGGCAGUCACGGGUAACGGAGAAUUAGGGUUCGAUUCCGGGGAGGAAGCCUGAGAAACGGCUACCACAUCUACGGAAGGCAGCAGGCGGGUAAAUUACCCAAUCCCGAUUCGGGGAGGUAGUGACAAGAAAUAACAACUCGGGCGGCGCAAGCGUUGCGAGAUUGCAAUGGGUACAAUUUAAAACACUUAACGAGUAACAAUUGGAGGGCAAGUCUGGUGCCAGCAGCCGCGGUAAUUCCAGCUCCAAUAGCGUAUAUUAAAGUUGUUGCAGUUAAAAAGCUGGUAGUAGAAGUUCUGGCUGGUCCUGUUUCCGGCUCCGGUGGACUCAGGACCUAGUCAUCCGUCGGAGAACCCUUGUCGUCCUUUACUGGUCGCUUGGGGGAACUGACCCUUUACUUUGAAAAAAUUAGAGUGUUUCAGGCAGGCUCUCGCCCGAAUACUCCAGCAUGGAAUAAUGGAAUAGGACUUUCGUCUAUUUUGUUGGUUAUUAGUAGAAAGUAAUGAUUAAUAGGGACAGUUGGGGGCAUUCGUACUUAAUUGUCAGAGGUGAAAUUCUUGGAUUUAUUAAAGACGAACUAAUGCGAAAGCAUUUGCCAAGGAUGUUUUCAUUAAUCAAGAACGAAAGAUAGGGGGUCAAAGACGAUC